rnacentral:rRNA from 1 species
UGCCCUACGGGAGGCUGCAGUGGGGAAUAUUGGACAAUGGGCGCAAGCCUGAUCCAGCAAUGCCGCGUGGGUGAAGAAGGCCUUCGGGUUGUAAAGCCCUUUUGUACGGGAAGAAAUCAUUCGGGUUAAUACCCUGGGUGGAUGACGGUACCGUAAGAAUAAGCACCGGCUAACUUCGUGCCAGCAGCCGCGGUAAUACGAAGGGUGCAAGCGUUAAUCGGAAUUACUGGGCGUAAAGCGUGCGUAGGUGGUUGUUCAAGUCUGUCGUGAAAGCCCUGGGCUCAACCUGGGAAUGGCGAUGGAAACUGGGCGACUAGAGUGCGGUAGAGGAUGGCGGAAUUCCCGGUGUAGCGGUGAAAUGCGUAGAGAUCGGGAGGAACAUCCGUGGCGAAGGCGGCCAUCUGGACCAGCACUGACACUGAGGCACGAAAGCGUGGGGAGCAAACAGGAUUAGAUACCCCAGUAGUCUA